GAUGAACGCUGGCGGCGUGCCUAAUACAUGCAAGUCGAGCGAACGGACGAGAAGCUUGCUUCUCUGAUGUUAGCGGCGGACGGGUGAGUAACACGUGGAUAACCUACCUAUAAGACUGGGAUAACUUCGGGAAACCGGAACUAAUACCGGAUGAUAUUUUGAACCGCAUGGUUCAAAAGUGAAAGACGGUCUUGCUGUCACUUAUAGAUGGAUCCGCGCUGCAUUAGCUAGUUGGUAAGGUAACGGCUUACCAAGGCAACGAUGCAUAGCCGACCUGAGAGGGUGAUCGGCCACACUGGAGCUGAGACACGGUCCAGACUCCUACGGGAGGCAGCAGUAGGGAAUCUUCCGCAAUGGGCGAAAGCCUGACGGAGCAACGCCGCGUGAGUGAUGAAGGUCUUCGGAUCGUAAAACUCUGUUAUUAGGGAAGAACAUAUGUGUAAGUAACUGUGCACAUCUUGACGGUACCUAAUCAGAAAGCCACGGCUAACUACGU
rnacentral:rRNA from 1 species